rnacentral:rRNA from 1 species
CCUACGGGCAGCAGUGGGGAAUAUUGGACAAUGGGCGAAAGCCUGAUCCAGCAAUGCCGCGUGUGUGAAGAAGGUCUUCGGAUUGUAAAGCACUUUCGACGGGGACGAUGAUGACGGUACCCGUAGAAGAAGCCCCGGCUAACUUCGUGCCAGCAGCCGCGGUAAUACGAAGGGGGCUAGCGUUGCUCGGAAUGACUGGGCGUAAAGGGCGCGUAGGCGGUUUAUGCAGUCAGAUGUGAAAUCCCCGGGCUUAACCUGGGAACUGCAUUUGAGACGCAUAGACUAGAGGUCGAGAGAGGGUUGUGGAAUUCCCAGUGUAGAGGUGAAAUUCGUAGAUAUUGGGAAGAACACCGGUGGCGAAGGCGGCAACCUGGCUCGAUACUGACGCUGAGGCGCGAAAGCGUGGGGAGCAAACAGGAUUAGAUACCCCUGUAGUC